rnacentral:lncRNA from 1 species
GUUCACACCAAGCCUGCAGACCAUGUGCUAGGUACUUACUUGGCAAACGGCCAAGGGAAAAGAGACCGAAACUACAGCACAGCCAUCACCUAAAAAGCCAGCUGUGCUUUCUCUGUAUCCUUCUACCCUAACAGUAAAACCCUGCGCAGAGAAGGGGGUGUGUGAGGAAGAAGCCAGAAGACCGCGCCCCUCCUUCUAGCCUUAAAGGCACAUGGGAUGAUCGCACCUCGUCAUACCCUUGAAGUGGAGAUAUGACUAUGUCACUUGCUUUGGACAGUGAAAUGUGAACAAAAGUGAUUUGCGAGCCAGUACAUGACUAUGAAUGCACUCCCUUCUCCUGCUACAGUGAUUAGGGAAACCACUAUUGACGUGGUGGUACCACAAGACUGAAGCAGCCUGAACUGCUAGUAAUACAUGUAGGAGAGCUGCUCUGGAAGUUUCCCCAAAUCCAC